AUGCCAUGGUGAGGACACUUCACUAGCAUUCUUUAAAUCUUUCCCAAGUUUCUUGCAAGUACUCAGUCGGCUGCUGCUUAAAUUGCAAUAUUUCAUCAAUCUGUCU
rfam:Nicotiana attenuata strain TT chromosome 11, whole genome shotgun sequence.